UAGAGUUUGAUCCUGGCUCAGAUUGAACGCUGGCGGCAGGCCUAACACAUGCAAGUCGAGCGGUAACACAGAGGAGCUUGCUCCUUGGGUGACGAGCGGCGGACGGGUGAGUAAUGCCUGGGGAUCUGCCCGAUAGAGGGGGAUAACUACGGGAAACUGUAGCUAAUACCGCAUAAUGUCUACGGACCAAAGUGGGGGCUCUUCGGACCUCAUGCUAUCGGAUGAACCCAGGUGGGAUUAGCUAGUUGGUGAGGUAAUGGCUCACCAAGGCGACGAUCUCUAACUGGUUUGAGAGAAUGACCAGUCACACUGGAACUGAGACACGGUCCAGACUCCUACGGGAGGCAGCAGUGGGGAAUAUUGCACAAUGGGCGCAAGCCUGAUGCAGCCAUGCCGCGUGUGUGAAGAAGGCCUUCGGGUUGUAAAGCACUUUCAGCGGGGAGGAAGGGCCACUAGUUAAUACCCUAGUGGCAUUUGACGUUUACUCGCAGAAGAAGCACCGGCUAACUACGUGCCAGCAGCCGCGGUAAUACGGAGGGAGCAAGCGUUAAUAUGGAAUUACUAGGAGUAAAGCGCACGCAGGCGGUUUGUUAAGUCAGAUGUGAAAUCCCCGAGCUCAACUUGUGAACUGCAUAUGAAACUGGCAAGCUAGAGUCUUGUAGAGGGGGGUAGAAUUCCAGGUGUAGCGGUGAAAUGCGUAGAGAUAUGGAGGAAUACCGGUGGCGCAGGCGGCCCCCUGGACAAAGACUGAC
rnacentral:rRNA from 1 species